rnacentral:snRNA from 1 species
GUGCUCACUUUAGCAGCACAUAUACUAAAAUUGGAAUGAUAUAGAGAAGAAUAGCAUGGCCCUAGAGCAAAGAUGACAAGAAAAUUCGUGGGGCAUUCUAUGUUUUU